CGGGGGCCCAAGGGCAGAAAGGGCUGCAGGGAUAGCCUCAUCAGAGGGCACUCAGGCAAUGGAAGAGAUGUGGCUGUGUUUCUGCUCUCUGCAGAAGAGAGUCCUGGAGGAGGGCCAGCAGCUGCCCCGGGUGCUGGGGAGACAGCAGAAGAGGGUGGACAUCAGCAGGGCCAGGGCGAUGAUGAAGGGACAUGAGAUAAGACACUUUGGUGACUGAUUCGGCCAAUGCUUCUUGAAGAGGAGUGAAUAUGGGCAGAGUCUGAGGUGGAGCCUGAAGCAGAUCUACCCCAGGGGAAUUCAAAAGUGUCUCCGGAGACUUAAAAUGUUAAAUUCAUCUAGGUUUCACAUUCUUCUCCAUGUUCUAUUUGUGCUUACUGCAACAUUAGAAUCCCGAAGCAUGCACGAAUCCUUCCAAAUCUCCAAAUAAAACAUAUUUGUUUGUUUUAA
ensembl:lncRNA RNF186-AS1 RNF186 antisense RNA 1